UAUUAAAAAUUUCAUCAAUUUUUAUUUUUAAAAACUGGCGUGAUUAACAGAAUAACUAAAUAGUUAAAUGUUUUGUGCCACGUAUAACUCAUUUUGAAGUAUAUGAACGGGUUUUUAACAGAGAAAUAGAUGAAAUUUUUAAUA
rfam:Gossypium arboreum cultivar AKA8401 contig_8424_1, whole genome shotgun sequence.